AAGAACUUGACACUCUGAUCAAAGGAACAAUAGCGGGAGGGGGUGUUAUACCACACAUUCACAAAUCACUCAUCAACAAAUCUUCUAAGGAGUAAUGGAAGCCUGUGUGCUACAACUAGACAUAGAAAUUGUUAUGUUGCCAUACUCUCUUUUGCAUAACUUCAAAAAAGUUGGUUUUGGUGUUUGCAAAUGCAUAGACAUAGAAUUUUAUGUUUGCAUAUUCCGUUGUCCUUUGAUGACAGACUAAAUUUAAUGUUAUUUAAUUGACUUCAAUUUGAA
rnacentral:misc_RNA from 1 species